rnacentral:lncRNA from 1 species
CCACUUUCUAGAGGCUGCAGCAUUCCUUGGCUCAUGGUCCUGUUCCUCCAUUUUCAAAGCCAGCAAUGGCCUGAAGUUAUGAGGGACUAAAGUGAGGAUCAGAACCCAGAACCUAUGGUGUAUAGAGGUCUUCCUUCAAAGAAACACUGGCCUUCAUUUGAGGAACACAGCCAGGCUGAGGGGACCCCACAGGGGUUAAGUAAAAGAUAUCAUAUGGAUUGACUAACACUGAAGAGUCAAGAAUUUUUAAGGAAGCUUCUGCAGCUUUUGGAGUGUGAAUGUAACAGGUUGGGCUCCUCCUCGAGCAAACCCUGACAGAAAUCUACCUAGCCUAAGGCUGCAAAGAUAUUCUCCUAUGGUUACGUCCAGAAGUUUUACAGUUUUAUGUCCAUGUGUAUGAUCAAUUUCAAGUUAUUUUUUUACAGUGCAAGGCACGUGGGGAGUUUGUAUCUCCCCAUACCUGAAUUUUUAACUGAACAUAUGGGUUGCUCUAGCUGAAGAAAUGUGUGUAGAACAUGAUGUGUCAUUUCCAGGCUCAAUCACCAUCCUCUCUCUGUCCCUGUGCCAUUGCCUCAGUCCCAGAAUGAGGAGAGUCUCUAGCUCUCUCAUGUAGCAGUAGCAAGAAAUAUAUCUUGAUGAUAUAAGUUACUAAUAAUCUUUUAAUGGCAAAAUAAUCUAUAUAAUAUCAUCUAUCUUGAUUACUACAGAAAUGUAUACCUAGAAAUGUGGUACUUCCAUUAAAAAAACCUUAAAAUAAAGACUGGGAAGUGGGUGGUGAGGAAACUAUUAUCAGAGAUUACAAGAAUGGUGAUCUAUGUGAUGCAACAUGUAAUCAUUUGAUAAAAUUGUUGACAGAGAUAAUCUGGAAGCCAAAUUACAUACCUUGUGAAUUUGUAAAUCAAGAAAUAAAGAUUGCAAAA